ensembl:lncRNA
CACAGUCCUGGUUACUGUCAGGAUUAGAAACAGGCUCAGUCACCAGCCAGGAGCAGAUGGUUAUGUAAAUGGGGAGCAGUUCUACAGCACAUUCUUAUGCCCUAAGCAUGAGCAGCGAUUGUGAGAUCUUGGAGCAGUGUGGAAAUUAAAUGACAAAAGCCAAGUGGGAAACUGCACCCAGCGGCCCAAGAAGCUUGCACAAGGCGCGCAGGGACAGGUGAAGGAGCCACGGCCGGCACGGUUAGCCAGAGCAAUUAAAGUGUCCAGGCCUGAUGCUCUGCAGCACUGUGGAGGAGAUGCUUAUUAACACUGAGCAUUCUGUUCUGAGCUCAGGCAGAAAACUUUCUUUCCAAAAGCACCCCACGUGGGGGUUUAUGGAGGACUGAUGUCUUGGGCUCCCUCUCACCCCCAAGGUGGUGCUGAUGCUGUUGGUCUGGGGGCUGCACUCUGAGACUCACUGCUACAGGACCUUGCUUAAGUGUCACUCCCCUCCCUUCUACCCCUUCCCCAACCUUGGGAUGGUGCUCCAGCCAUUGGUCCCAGGCAAUUGGCAUGGCCUCCUGUCUGUGAAGGUCUGCCCCUGCUUCCUUCUCCCCACCUCCCUAUCACUCUCAUCCUUGCCCUCCGUGCUCCUGCUCUCUCUUCCUCAGAACAGCCUAAGCCACAGACCAUCCCUCCCCUUUUCCUGCCCCAAGACCUUGGCACCUGCUACCCUCACUGCCUGGAAUGUUCUUUCUUGGGCUCUGCACCCAGCCAACUCCACACCCUAACUCAGAGAGGCCUUCUAUGAACGCAGUUGAAAGAAGGUCUCCUGAGCUGUUCCCUUCCAUCGCUCUUUAAUUCACAUCACAGCUCCUGUGUUGAUCAGAUCUGACUUCCCUUGAGAAUGCAAACUCCACAGGGCAGGGAGAAGUGAUGUUUCUCUCCCCGCUGUAGACCCUGCACUGGGUGCAGUCACAGGGUAGGGCAGGGGUCCCCAACCCCCAGAUGGGUAAUGGUCCAUGGUCCGUUAGGAACUGGGCCACACAGCAGGAGGUGAGCAAAGUGAGUUUCAUCUGUAUUUACAGCUGCUCCCCAGUGCUCUCCCAUCACCCCCAGAUGGGACUGUCUAGUUGCAGGAAAACAAGCUCAGGACUCCCACUGAUUCUGCAUUAUGGUGAAUUGUAUAAUUAUUUCAUUACAUAACCCAGUGUAACAAUCAUGGAAAUAAAGUGCACAAUAACUGUAAUGUGCUUGAAUCAUGCUAAGAACCCUGGUCCAUGGAAAAACUGUCUUCCAUGAAACCGGUCCCUGGUGAUAAAAAGGUUAGGGACUGCUGGGGUAGAGCAUCCUUGGAGAAGUGAAGGAAUGGGAUUAGUUUCUGUUCUCAGUGAAAUCCACACUGGAAGUGGCCAGAAAACCAGCCAGUCUUGCCCCAUGGGCUCUUCUUUCUGCAGACCUGCCUGCCAUCCGGCCAACCCUCAGCCACCCAGCACUUCGUUUUGAGCCAGGGGUUGGGGUGGGGAUGGAGGGAGGAAGGGGAGGUUUGGGAACAGCCAAAGUUGCAGAUAGACACAUAAUCAAAUCCAGAGGGCUGCACUGUGUUCUGCCAAUUAAGAUACCAGAUUAAGCAGGCCAAGGGCCCCUGGGGCGAGAUGCCACACAAAAUAACUCUUCAAAAAUAGUAACUUGUAUCUCAGGAAUGAGCAUGAAUUGUCAAUGACAUGAGCAGUGUUUUGAAACAGAAAGACGAGUCCUAUUUAUAUUGCAGAUAAUGGUUACAUGACGUAGGCAUAGCUUGGGCCAAUGUUCCCAAAGGAGGUAUUUAGAAGUAAUGGUGUGGAAGCUGUGUUGGAAGGACCAGUGCUGAAGAGUAAAGAUGGCUGGUGGUGGGGUGGGAAGAGGAUGUCCACGGCUCCUGGCUGGGCUCUUGCUGCUUACCGGUCAGUGCACUAGACCAGCAAAGAUCUGCCUUCAGGAGCACCUGGAUCAGGGUUCCAGCCCUGGGCUCAGCACUUGCUGCUGUGUGACCUUGAGCAGUUGUUUAACCUCACUGAGCCUGUCUCUCUCCCUGGAAAAUGAGGGGAAACAAUAAUUUCUCUCUCGGGGUUGUUGUAAAGAGUAAAUGAGAUAAUGAGAUAAUGUGUAUAAAGUGGAUGUUGCAGGGCCUGGCACAGAGUAAGCACUGAAUAAAUAAUAGCUAUUAUUAGUUACAACAUUAAAAUUUUUUAAUUGUGGUAAAAAAUAACAUAAAAAUUUACCAUCUUAACCACUUUCAGUGUACAGUUCAACAGUGUUAUAUGUAUUCACACUGUAGUGCAACAGAUCUCUAGAACUUUCUUAUCUUGCAAAACUGAAACUCGUAUGUUUUGAUUUUUAACCCAUAUUGAGUUGAUUUUUGUGUAUGGUUUUAGGUAAGGGUCCAAUGUCAUUCUUGUAUAGUGACACUUUAAUGUUGAAAAUUCCUCUUACCUAUUUGUGCCCAUUUUCUCUUCUAUUAAAAAAAAAAAAAGGUAGGUUAAGAACUUUUCUAUUCAUUAAAAGAUACCACAAAGAAAAUUAAAAGACAGGGAGGGUUUUUUUUUAUUUUACAACACAGAUAACCGACUCCAAUUCAGAAUACUUCUAUAGGUCAGCAAGAAAAAGACAAAUGUCCUCAUAGAAAAAUGGGGACGAUGCAUAAAAAGGAAUUUCACAGAAGAGGAGGCAUGAGUGGUCCAUGGACAUACAAUAAAAUACUCAGCCUCAUUGGUGCUCAGGAAAAUGCAAAUCAGCAUCACUAUGAGGCAUCAACUUAUACCCAUUAACUGGGCAAAAAUUAAGAACUCUGAUGAUGAGGACUCAUACAUAGCAGAUGGGAGAGUAAUCUGGUACAUUCUGGCAGCACCUUGUGAACUUCAGCACUCACAGAAUUUACAAGCCAGCAAUUUAACACUCAGGUGAAACUUCCCCGAGAGAGAUUCUUCAGUAAAUGAUUCAGAUAUGAGCACAAAUAUGCACAGUGACAAUGUCUGUAACAGACAAAAGGACUGGAAACAGACCAAAUGACUAGUAAUGAGAGCAUGCUUAUAGAGAUCGUGGCAUGUUCCCGGAAUAGAGAGUCAUUCAGCAGUAAAAAUGAACUGCAAAAACAUGGUUGAAGGUUUAAAUGUAAAAUCGAGUGAAAGAAACACGCGUUGGGCAGGGUAUUAUUUUUGCAGAGUUCAAAACCAAAUCAAAACAACGUAUUCAUCAGAUACAUGAAACAAAGGAACUGUACGCCUGAAACUAACACAACUUUGUAAGUCAACCAGACUUCAGUAAAAUCUUUUUUAUUAUCGGAGAAUAGCUGCUUUGCAAUGGUGUGUUGCUUUCUUCCAUACAAUGAAGUGAAGCAGCUCUAAGUGUCCAUUAUCCCCUCCCCUUUCAGCCUCCCUCCCGCUGCCUCCACCCCGCCCUCUAGGUCCUCACAGAGCGCCAAGCUGAGCUCCCUCCCACUAGCUGUCUGUUCUGCACAUGGUAGUGUUCAUAGUCAGUGCUACCCUCCCAGUUGAAAAACAUUUCUUAAAGAGAUAAUAAACAUAAAACCCAAGAUCAUGGUAACUUUGGGGGUGGGGGGCAGCAGGAAAUCAAGCAGAAGAAACCAGAAGCAUUGAUAAUUUUCUAGAACUUGAGUGCCUGGAAGUUCCUGUGUGUUCUUGUUGUUAUAACACUUCAUAAUCUAAAGAUAUGUUACACGAAUUCCUUUCCAUGUUUUAAAUGUAACAUGAUAAAGAGUUAUU